AAGCGGGCGGCCCACGGCCCGGCAGCUGGCGACCACGCGGAACGUCUGGCCCUCCUCCAGGGUCACGAGCUCCACGGAGGAGAUGGGCAAAACUGGGGACGUAGAUACAGAGAGAUGGAGAAAACUGAUGGUUUAGAAAAGCUGAUUGCAGGUCGAGGACAAGUCGGAGCAGCACAGAUCCUGACAGAUUAAAGACGAGUAACAAAGGUAACUGCCCUAUAGAAAACCAGACACCAAGCAAGUAAAGAGCUACAAAUAUCUGAGUGAAAGCACCGCACGCUGCAUGGGACUGGUUCACGAUCACACCAGCGAGCGGCUCCUGCAGUGUUUUGCAUGAACAUAUUUGUGCAGUGGCUCCAACCAACUGGUUUGACAACUGGUGAAUGUGAUUCACUGCCAGUCACGAAGCCGAGUGCUCGUAAACACAGAGGUUUCACGCUCUCCAGUGCGAUUAUUAACGCAGGGAGUCCGGAUUACCAGCAGGAUUAACCAACAAAGCCGAGGGCACCGCCUGUGGAAACGCAGGCUUUACCAACAGAAACCCCACAACAACGUGACGUCACAGCGCUCCGACUGACAGUAACCUGUGAGCGUGACAGAGAAACGAGCAGCUCACGCUUCGUUUGUGGAUCAGUCGCUUUGUUCUGUUGUCACCAAAGUUGAAGCUGCCACGUUUCUUUUUUCAGUCUGGAGCUAAAUAUUUUCCUACUGCUCACGAAUCCUCUACUAAAAAACCCAACGACGACAAGAACAACAUGAUCCACCUUGACCUCUAGGGUCAUUAGACACUAACGUCCUUCAAAGCAAUCAUAGAUUCAGAUGAUUGUUUCCGUCAGAUCAAACUAAUUAGCGUUAAAAGUUCAGUGCGUUAGUCACCUUCAGUUAUUAAAAUCUAUUACGUGCUGUACAUUGACACGCUGCCAAAAAAGUAGAACGGAAAAAGAUCAACAAAAGCCCAAAGAAUCCAAAUGAGCAGCGCAUCGAUGAUAAAGAAAUAAAGGGGUUUGGUUGUAACAUCAGCAGGAAGUGGGGGCGGCGUGUUCUCAGUGUUCUCAGUGUUCUCCGUGUUCUGGGGGAACGUCUGUUGUUUUUAGGGUGGAGGUGGUUCCGUGCUGGAGGCCGUCGGUUGCGAUUUUGCGCGUUUGUGGGUUUGUGUGAGCGCUUGCGUGUCGGAACAGGUUCUCGACGGAGCUGUCGUCGCCGACGACUGCCAGCGAAAUGUCAUUAACGGCAGAUAUCAUCUCGUCGGGCUCUGACUCAAAGCGGAGCCGCUGAAACAACAGCGUUCCCACAGCUGGAGCGACGACGGCUCCUCUGAAACGGGUCCACGCUAAUCCUCUCACUGGGACGAGGAGCGCGAGAGCUGCCCCACGGAGUUCUAUCACAAAUUGAAUCUACCUCCACCGCUGUUGUGUCUAUUCGUCACACACCGCAGACAAAUUAAGAAGCUUUUAUUCCCUGAAUAAAACUAAUCCCUCAUUCAGUUUGAAUAAAUCUGAUGUGGAGAAGGAUUUAACGAGUCUCAGAUACGUGGUCACUGUGUGAAACGCAUGGAGACAUAUCAAAAUAAAACCUUAUUACGAGACCACCCUCUGCAUUCAGACAGUCUUUGUUAGGGAACAGUUUGCUUUGACUUCUUUGAGUGAGUGUGUGUGUGUGUAAGCAAACCUGCGUUCCAUCGUCCUCUAUGGACAUGACUGCGGUGUAAAGUUCACUAGAGCAUGUGUGGAUGUGAGGGUGAUGUAGGAGAAAAGGGGGGGGGUCUUACUCCACACGGUGAGCGUGAUGCGCCUCUCGAAGUUCCCGUUUGGGAAGGUGGAGAUGUGGCAGGCGUAGACGCCCUCGUCCGACACCUCCGUGCUGGGGAUGAGCAGCGCCGAGUCGUCUGUCGGGCUGCCGCUCUCGAACUUCACCCGGCCCGAGUACCGCCCGAACUCUGCCGACCCAAAAACGGAGACGGAGUCAGGGUACAGGUGGUUCCGCCGCUGUGAAGAGGCCGCUGGCGGCCGCGUCCUACCUGUGUGGCCGUCCUCGAAGUGGGCGGUGAUGAUCUGGUCCUUGCUGCCGUCUGGGAGCUCCUUGUACCAGCUGACCUGCACCACCUUCUCCCCCUCCUCCACCCGGUAGCGACAGGGGAGCCGGGUCUGGCUCUCCGCCAGGGAGCGCUGGGAGGUUUCGGGCUGAAGGGGCUCCACGAAGGUGCCCCGCACACAGACGGCUGAAAGCAC